AAGAGCCUGUAGCGUCAGCACACGCACGAGUGCGGUACUGUGGGCUGUCCGAGAGACUGGGUGAAAACCGCUGUUUUGUUGCAGCGUUGUUCAGCUCGCAUUGCCGGAGCCCACGCAAGGCUGUGCUCUUUUACCUGAGGUAGAAUCUCAAACUGGGCUUUCAUCAGAAGACGUCUGAACAAAUGGACUCGGAGGUGCGCCGACGCGCCGG